UACAGAGGGUGCAAGCGUUGUUCGGAAUUAUUGGGCGUAAAGCGCGUGUAGGCGGCUUAGCAAGUCGGGCGUGAAAGCCCUCGGCUCAACCGAGGAAGUGCACCCGAAACUGCUGAGCUUGAGUGCCGGAGAGGAUGGCGGAAUUCCCCAAGUAGAGGUGAAAUUCGUAGAUAUGGGGAGGAACACCUGUGGCGAAGGCGGCCCCCUGGGCCGGCCCUGACACUGAGACGCGAAGGCGUGGGGAGCGAACGGG
rnacentral:rRNA from 1 species